AGGGAGCGAGCCCGCCUGGCCGUUGGAAGCGUGGAUCCUUUGCUAUCCCCUGAAUGAUGAUGAUCACGCUUUCGCAGGACAAUAUGAUAUGUGUGAUCGGAUCUGAUCAGCCGUUCGAUCAACGGUCUUUAAGCUGCGCAGAAAGUAGCGCAGGCACCGAAAGGCUGUUAGGGCGCCACCAGCACCAGCAGCAGAGUCGGCGCUGAGACGAGACGACUCAGCUGGUCUGUGCGGAGCUGAGCCGGAAAGAGCUUGUCCCUCACCACCUUCUCUGAUCGUCGUCGUCGUCAUCAUCUAUCUUUCCCAUUUCAUCCUUCCUCCCUUCCGUUGACGGAUUAAUUUCUCGCUCUCUUUAUUUACAAUAAAACAAAAAAAACCCUAAAAACGCGUAGGACUUCCGCAUAAUAGCAUAAGACUGGAAGAAAAGGAGGAUUGGGUGGUUCGGGAGCGACAGGAGACGUAGGAGGAGGAUUGAUGAAUCGAAGGAAAGAACCCUGCAGAAAUUUUCAGCGCGGCAGCUGUCAAUAUGGGGAUCGUUGCAAGUUUCUGCAUGUGGCUCCACAACAAUCAAAACCCAGCACUUUUGGAUUUGGUGCUCAAAGUGCUUUGCAUUUGGCACAAAACACCCAACAACAAAAGCCCAAUCCUUUUGGAUUUGGGGUAUCGGGCAACUCACAGUUAAAAGGUGCAUCGAACUUUGGUGCCAGAAAUCAAAGCUCUUCCAGGCCAUUUGAAAAUAAGUGGACACGGUCCUCCUCGAUAGCUUCAACAACUUCAACUUCCCCUCAACAGAAUGAUUCCCUGCCUCAAGCAGCUAUUCAUAAAUGUACAGAUCCGGAGUUAUGCAAACGCCAAAUUGUUGAAGAUUUUAAGAAUGAGGCACCUCUUUGGAAGCUUACCUGUUAUGGUCACUGCAAAAAUGGUCCUUGUGAUAUUAUUGGUGAUAUUAGCUUUGAAGAACUUCGGGCAGCAGCAUAUGAGGAUGCUAGACGAGGGUUAAGUUUACAAUCAAUUGUUGAAAGAGAAAGGAACUUGCUCAAUUCCAAGUUAAUCGAGUUCGAUAAUUUGCUCCGGAAUCCCUAUGUAUUGCGAAAUCCUAAUUCAUCUGGGACAAGCCUGUUUGCAGUAACCAACAGCAAUGCAUCCUUAAUAGGUGCUCAAACUAAUGCACCACCUUCAUUUUCAAGUUUUAGUCAACUUGGGGUAGCAACUAAUGUUGGAUCGACCAUCAGGACUAGCGUACCAGGAACUCCACCUAGUGCUGUUUUUAACCAGCCAAGCUCUUUCCAGAGUAAUGGCCAAACUUCCGGUGGAUUUGCAAUGAAAUUUGGGACAUCAGGAAUUGGUAGCCAGCUACCAACACAGCCAUCUGGAAGUUCAUUAGGCCCAAACAGUUCCAACUUCAACAAUAGUGUUAGGGCUGCCGGAAGUCAACAUUUCUCAUUCCCUGCAGUCUCGCCACAGUUUAGCGGUACAAGUAAUGCAUCACCAAACAUUCUUGAUGGGCCUCAAGUUGCUCCAACUACAGCCCACCAGGCAUCUGUUAUGGAAAAGCAGAAUGUUAGUCCAGAUGACAGCAUAUGGUUAAAAGAAGAAUGGGCAAUAGGAGAGAUACCUGUAGAAGCUCCUCCAGAGAGAUUCUGUUGAAGCUCAGCAUUAAAUUUGGGAGUCUAUGGUUGGGAUAAAUGCUGUCAGGAUGCUUUAUUGUUCCCUAUGCAAGUUAAUAUUGAGGGUAGGAGGCGGGAGCUCCUGUCUCUCAAUUGAUUAGGAGUGCUUUAAGAUCUGCCUGUGGGAUGAGGCUUGAUGGUCAAGGUUGUGGUAGAAGUUUAGACCUCUGUUCCUCACUUUGGGGAAGGUGUUCUGGCAUGCUGCUGCCCUUUGAGCUUUUACCCAGGAGACCUAGUGCGUAGUGGUGGAAAAUGCCAAGCAGCCAGAUGCUGACAGCACAUUGGUGCAUAACCUACUUUUUUAUGCAUAUGAAAGAUCCACAUCAAAAACAUUCUCAUAGAAGGCAGAGUCUUGUAUACAUACGAUGAGAAUGCUGGCAUUAAUCCACCUUAGUUUUGUAUGUCACAGUGCAGGAAAAGGAUUUCUCUAUAGGAGCAGAAUCUGAUAGACUGGUUUUGGCAAAGCCAGCAGUUAUGAUGAUGCACUUUGGUGUUAGCCCUGGCUGACUGGUUCGAUUCACCUCGUGGGCACCAGCAUGCUUGGACUGUGAGUGGUUCGAUGAAUCCCCUCAUGGUACAUUGCUUCAUGACAUAGGAGGCUAGAUAAGGGUUUCCUCUUUGUACUAGUGCCGCUAGCCAUUCCAUGAUAUCCAUUCUGAUGUAGAGCCUCCCUUGGAUGAUCUCUCUGAUCUGGUGAUCUGCAUGCUACAGUUGAGUUUGAGCCUUCCCGUCAUCUAUGCCGACAUCGAAGUCCUCAUACCAGAAUGGGUCAGCAGAGAUGCCUAACUUCGCUUAAAAUACUAACCUUUUUUUUCCUGGUACAUUUGAGUUGAAACUGUAGACAGAAAAAACAAGACUGGGCAACUAACACAAACAGAGACUGUAACGGCAAAGUAAGAAGUAGAACAGCAGCGCCUGGAGCCAACCGAGUAGAGCUGAUCAGCCAUGUCUGAGGAAACCUACUCGAAGCAGGUCAUCCAUCAGAAUGCAGGCAAACUUUGGAGGGAAAGGAUCACCAGGAACAAAACCAAAACCCCCCUGAAGUGCCCGUUUUGUCAGCCGCUUUGCUGUCUGAUUAUCCUCACAAAAAAUGAGUCCCAGCAAAUGUUUGUAACCUUUGUUUCCGGGCCUCAAAAUUAGGAAGAAGGAUAAUUGAUCCAACAGAUCAUGGUAGCCAAGCCCCCCUGCAAAAUUUCCUGACCGUGGCAGUAACGUAUGGUUGCAUUUAACCCCAUCCAGGAUGCUGUUAACUCAGCACAGGGGAUAGAACGGGAAGUAAGAAGUCUACCGGCAGCAUUAUCAAAGAAGCAGAAGCACCUCUGAUCUAAAGAGCAGCUGCUGCAGAUGACCUUCGCACGGGCCCAUCCAGGAUGCUGUUAACUCAGCACAGGGGAUAAAACAGGAAGUAAGAAGCCUACCAGCAGCAUAUAUCAAAGAACCAGAAGCACCUCUGAUUAAAAUAGCGGCUGUUGCAGAUGACCUUUGCGCAGCCCCAUCAAAAUUCACCAUGAACACUCUAAAGGGAGAGGGCAGCCAAGACACCAAGGGUUGAAAGGAAGAGUGCUUGUGAAGCACUAAUGAGCUGUUCCAGUGCUUUGAAUUGGUGCAAGAAGAGCUACUAAUAUGGUUAAAGACAUCAACAUGAUAACAGCUGCCUUACCGGGUUCUGUGGAGAUGUAAAUUGAUUUUGAAAGACCCUCAGGUUUCGUGCUAACCAGAUCGGCCAAGCCAUAUAUGCCAUCAUUUCCUGCUCCCUCCUCUCCACCAUGGCAUAAGAUAAAAGAGGAACUAAAGAUAUCUGCAGCUCAGCAAUAAUUGCCAGCUGAUUCAAGCAUUGAGCAGCAGAUGGGCAUGUUACAAUCAUAUGUUGAUAAUCCUCCAUAGACCCGUCACGCUAACCUCAGCAUGGUACUUCAUUAGGCGGUAGGCUCUGAUGGUUUAGAACACUUUGGGAAUGGAAUGUCCUGUUGCAUUAGCUUCCACCAAAAAAUAUUUCACCCUUAUUGGGUCUUCCA